rnacentral:rRNA from 1 species
AAUAUUUUAUUAUGGGCGAAAGCCUGUUCAAGCCGUGCCGCGUGUGUGAAGAAGGUCUUCGCAUUGUAAAGCACUUUAAUCUGGGAGGAAGGGCAGUAAGUUAAUACUUUGCUGUUUUGACGUUACCGACAGAAUAAGCACCGGCUAACUUCGUGCCAGCAGCCGCGGUAAUACGAAGGGUGCAAGCGUUAAUCGGAAUUACUGGGCAUAAAGCGCGAGUAGGUGGUUUAUUAAAUUGGGAGUGAAAGCCCCGGGCUCAACCGAGGAUCUGCUUUCAAAACUGGCAAGCUAGAGUAUGGAAGAGGGUGGUGGAAUUUCCUGUGUAGCGAUAAAAUGCGUAGAUAUAGGAAAGAACACCAGUGGCGAAGGCGACCACCUGAGCUAAUACUGACACUGAGGUGCGAAAGCGUGAGGAGCAAAC